rnacentral:rRNA from 1 species
AUGGCCGGUUCAGAUGAUGAUCGCCUAGUCCAGUCGCGGCGCCUGCGCCGCAGCGGGGGCGAGCUCGAGGAGGGCGAGGUCGUCUCCGGGUACUACACGGGCUCCGACACCGACACCGACACCGACGACGAGGACGCGCGCUACUACCUCCACCCGGUGCCCCUCCACGACCACCGAGACCGCCAGGGGAUGAUGGUCACGGUCGCGCGGCCAGGCCACGACCCUGUCCUGGAGGACGUGGUCAUUGGCCGUGCCAGCGCCGGGUCAAUGUCAAGAUCAAGAUCAACUACCCGGGCGUCGUCGCCCACUACCUCGCUCGGCUCUGACGGGACCAUCAGCGAUCACGCCGACGCCGGAGUCGACGCUUCUGCCGUCACUGCGUUAUUCCCGGCCUGUCCCGUCUGCCACAGGCAGUUCCGCAGCUCCAAGGCCGUGCAUGGGCACAUGAGGGUCCACGCGCUGGCGCAGCCCAAGGAGGUGGAGAAGGUGUCUGCUACGGUGAGCGCCGUGGACAAGGUGGCCGGCUACGUGUCCCUGUCUACGUCCACUGCCGUCGAGGAGCUGGCGAGCAGCGAGCAGGUCGUCCCCAGCGGCGGCAGAAGCAGCAACAGCGCCAGCGUCCAGAAGCCAAGUCAGAGUACUGCUGAUCAGUCCAUGGCCAUCGUGGUGGCAGGGGCAGCACCGCCUGCCGCCGUAUCGGAGCAAGUCCACAUCGCCGCGUCGCCUCCUGCAUCGCAGCAAGACCCCGUUGCACCGCCGUUCGCACCAGCACCAGAGCCAGCCGCCGCCUACCUCCACCCGCCCGCCCCCGCACAGCAGCAUGCCUUCGUCCCCCCACUAGCGGCCGCGGCACCGCGGCAUGCCUUCCACGGGCCACUGCACAUCAUCGCGCACCGGGACACGUCCGCCCCGCGUGGGUUCUCGUGCAAGGAGUGCAACCGGUGGUUCCCGACGCACCAGGGGCUGGGCGGCCACGCCGCCGGCCACAAGAACCGUCGCAUCGCGGCGGAGGCCGCUGCAGCCAUAGACGCGGGGCUCGACCCGAUUGGCCACGCCGCGGGCGGCUCCAGGUCGGAGAGGCUCCACACCUGCAAGGUCUGCGGCGAAGUUUACACCAGCGGCGUCCGGCUAGGGGGGCACAUGAGGAAACACUACCAGGGCAAGCCCAUCGUGCCGAGGAAGCGGGCGCGCCUCCUCCUUCCCCCGGACGUCCUCGGGCUCGCGGUCCCCGGGCCGGCGCCACAGGCGCCAGCGGCCGUAGUGGCGGCUGCACCACUGCAGGCGCCGGCGGUGCCGGCAGGCUGCGUGAGGCUCUUCGGCGUCACCAUCGUGCCGGAGGCGAAGAAAGAGGAGAAGGAGCCCUGCGUCGACGACAAGCAGUGA